rnacentral:misc_RNA from 1 species
CCUCCUUAUACGAUUUAGAACUUAUUUGUUCGUAGUGUCCACACAGAUGAUUGUUAGUUAGUUUCACCUUUGGGUUUAACCGAUUAAUAUGCUCUUUAAAAAUUUGGAAAAGCUGAUAAUAAAAUUCGUAUGAAUACAGUGUAUUUGUACAGAGUUUUCAAAAGUAAAAAAGAAUGAUAGCAGUAUCAUUCAGUGCCAUUUAAUAAACGUCUCGUUUGUUGAUUGGUAUCUACUUUAGUAUUCAAUAUUAACUUCUGGCGAAGUUAAACUGUCACAAAACAAAGACCCGUUUGGGUUGUAUGGUUAAGUGACUAAGCGUACACGGUGGAUGC